CCAACAAUCAGCCGCCGCCACUCCACCUAUCCUCCUCAUGCUGCUCCAUGUUGGCGCCGGCACCGAACCACCCACCGUUGUAUCUCCCCAUCUCUCCCGCGACGGCACCGAACCACCCACCGCUGGAUCUCCCCAUCUCUCCCGCGCCCCAUCAAGUCCAUGCUAUGCCCCUCUCCACUCAGAUCGACCAUCAAGCUACGGCGACCCAGUCCUACCCCUAAGCUGAGGCGUCAGUGGUAGCGACGGCACGGACUGUUAGAUUUGGCAGUCCCAGAGGUCGCUGGCGGUGGGAACGGAUCCAUCUCUAUCCGGCGGCGUGCCAAGGUGAGGUACAGGAGGUGACGACACUGCCACAGAUCCAUCUCCACCCCGUCAAGGUGAGGUACAUGGGCGACCCUAAUGGCUGGGUCCAAGUACGUAUUUAUUUGCAUUAGGCCUAUAAUUUAGCUGCAGAAAAAAACGUCAUUGGGUCUGGCCCAUCACCCAAGUAGUAGCAGUUCCAUAAUCCAAGAAGUAUUGUAGAUGGAAAGUCUGAUACAUCGUCGUAACCCAUGCAUUGACUCGUGGGAUCGAGGAAUACACGCAUGCAUCGCAUCAGGCAUGCUGCGGGUGCCACCUUUUCUUCUCUAGCUCAGAUCGUGCCAGAUGAACCAGGAAGGAGGAGUUCCAGAUCUCAACUUCUCAAGUGGUGCGCGCCGUAGAUCUGCGGCGGUUGCUCUGUAUUUUUGUGCUGAUGCUUCGUGUCCUUUAUAUAGAGGCGAGUAUUGUCAGUCGGUCGACAUUUUCCAUUGUUUGUACAAUUAAUCGUUUUGAUUCCGCCUUUUAAUAUUGAUGUUCAUGUGGUGCUAUAGAUCUCAAGCAAUAACGAGGUUUGGAUGCUGCUCAUAGUGGUGAGUUUAUAGAUGAACUCAGCAAUGAUAGCACAAUUGGGUAACAAAUUAUUAAUUUAAUCAUCCCUACAACUUCGCGGGAGUAACUUUUCACUAUCUCGGCACUAUAUAAUUUGAUUUUUAAAGAUACAAAGGUAAGUUUAGAAGAUAUGACAAAAUAUUUCCACAUCACUCGUAUUGAUUUUCUCAUCUAUCUAAAUCCUCAUAUACUGAUGUUUGCUGUAACAGUCUUACAAUAGUCAUUGGAAGGACUCAAAAUGUGAAUGCAACUAUGUAUUUUGGAUGCAAAUUAUUUUUGGACCAUUUUUGGAGUCUUCUGUCCCUUUUGACACCUGAAAUAAUAUACUCCUACACGUGUAAUUCAAGCAUUAAACAUGACUUUGCAUCACACACAGUGUGUACUUUCUUCAUAGCCUAAUAUUCUGAUAUAUCUGUCAAGGGCCUCUAAGUUUUAGUUUCGCCCUGGGCCCCCAAAUCUUAGGACCGGCCCUGCGUGGUGCACGUGUACUCAAGGCAAUGUUGAAGGUAAUAUUUCACCGAAGGUAAUAUUGUGAUGCAGUACAGCUAGUCAGAUAUAGUAAAUUCAGAGAUUGCUUUUAAAACAUCAGAUUUAAAAGCUAAAGUAGAGGAGAAAUAACUAUGUCAGCUAGUGUAGACAAUUUCAUAUUCUUAGACCAAGUUAGCUAUAACUGUGAAAACAUUCUAUAGAGUAAACCAUUGGAAAUUUGUACUCAAAAUUUAGCUAAGUAAAAUCAAUCUUCAGAAAAUAUUAGAGGGUAUGGACAUUAGCGAGUGUAUUCGUAUUUGUGCUUUUGCUAAUAGUUUUCUGGGAAGAAAAUGAUAAUAAUCUGGACACCACCAACCAUUACACUUAAGGGAUACAUUUUCCAUUUCCCAUUGACCCAUCUACAUAAGCCAUUCAUCUAGAGAAUAUUUUUGUGUAUAAUUAUUCAUCUAUGGAAGCAAUGUAAUUAUUUUGAAAAUCCAUUGUAAAUUAUGCUCUAGAUGUAUGGCGUGUUUUAGUUUUUACUCAUAAUUUGUCCCGACAUCUAAAAUAGGUUGAUAGACAUUCUUUUAUUUUUACUGAUAUGUAUUGUUGUUAUACAAACAGGGAAGUUAAAUUUUUCGUUGAAAGCAAGGUAUUACUAUGACCAUGAAGUACACCCAUUUUUGUUGGAUGGCUGUUUGAAUGUUGGGCAAAUUUUGCUCGUUCAUGUACGUGUGCUAUGUACAAGGGGGCUAGGCUUUGUAAUAUAUUUCCUUGUAGGUAUGAUUGUGUACUCGGCUACUUGGUGCUGCCAUCACAAUUUGGAUGACGUGAUAGUUUCCAUCAAGGUUUCCAUCACAAUUUGGAUGACGUGAUAGUUUCCAUCAAGGUUUCCAUCGGGAGGGCCGACGACAAGAACUUCAAUAGUUUAAGUGUUUUGUUUGUUCGAACUGGAUUGCACUGUUUUCUAAAUUGUUGAGUGAUAUAUUUUUAUCAAUCUAGGUUGUAAAAUAUCAUUUCAUGGAUGAUUUUGUGAACUACUAUGUUGUAGAUACUU